CAGCUCUUUAGAAUCUAACCAAGGUGGAGAUGUCCUUCUGAUCAUGCUGGCUACUGUGUGGACAGUAGGUGAUAGCAGAAAAGAAGUGGAAGCCAAGAAGCUGAUAUGGAGCCAAUGAGCAGUUCAGGUUUAAAAUUGAGGUGAUGAGAUGGAAUAUUACCUGUGUGCUUCAGAACAUCCAUGAGUGACAUGUGAUAGUUGCCUGGGAAACUAGAGAUGAAAUUUUAUAGGCCUUUGAAAUGCCUUACAUUUGAGAAUUAAGCUCAGCUGAAGUUUAAACAGCAUACUGACAGUGAGUAUUGAUCUCUCACAUUAUCUGUUAGGAUAUUUGAGGUGCAGAUAACAGAAAAACCCCAACUCCAAGGGGUUUAACCAACAAAGAAAUGUAUUAUCUAAUAUAACUGGAAGUACAGAGGUAGAAUGAGCUCCAAGUGUGUUGUAAUGAGAAGCCUAAUAUAAUCGAGGAUCCAGCUCCUUUUCGUCUUUCUCCUCUGUUUUACUCAGCUACCUCCUAGGGCUGGUUGUCCUUAUGGUUUCAAGAUGGCUGCCAGCGACAUCCUGAGCGACAUUAAUUCUUAUUAACUGCCAGCAGGAGAGGAGAGGGGAGCUUUCUCCCUUAAACCUAGAAAAUAGUCCUUUUCUUCAAUCUGAUUGGGAAAACUUAAUUCACAUGUCUACCUCUAGACUAAGGAAGGCCAUGAUCUAACUGGCACAAACAAAUCAAAAUCCUCCUUGAGGACUAGAUAUAUUGUGAAUCUCUGGAUUAAAAGGGCUUCUACUAGGAAGAAAAAAGGGGGGAAUUGGGAAUUAGGCAUUGUAUAUAUCAUACAAUGGAGAGGCAAGAGUUAACAACACAUUCUACACUGGAAAAAACUUUCAAGGAAUGGAAUCUGCCCCAAAUUUUGUUAUUCUGUCCCUUGUCAUCAACUCCGUGGACAUGUAUCUCCCUCACUAAGGAUGAAAAGAGAAGGGGAGGGAGUUCUGGUGAGUCCAAAGU